AUCACCCAGCACCCGGGACUCACU
rnacentral:siRNA from 1 species